rnacentral:tRNA from 1 species
GGGGCUGUGGCGCAGUUGGUAGCGCACCUCCAUGGCAUGGAGGGGGUCAGGGGUUCGAGUCCCCUCAGCUCCA